rnacentral:rRNA from 1 species
CCCUUAGAUGUUCUGGGCCGCACGCGCGCUACACUGUUCGACGCAGCGAGUCUUAACCUUGACCGAAAGGUUUGGGUAAUCUUCAGCAAAGUCGAACGUGAUGGGGAUCGAUCAUUGCAAUUAUUGAUCGUGAACGAGGAAUUCCUAGUAAGUGCAAGUCAUCAGCUUGCGCUGAUUACGUCCCUGCCCUUUGUACACACCGCCCGUCGCUACUACCGAUUGAACGGUUUAGUGAGAUCUCUGGAUUGACGCUGGCUAGGGGGCGACCCUUGGCCAGGCUGUCGAGAAACUGCUCAAACUUGAUCAUUUAGAGGAAGUAAAAGUCGUAACA